AAACUGAUUCCUGCACACAAUUGCUACAACUGUGCUUUCUGUUGGUGUCCAUCAGGCUGCUGCUGCGUUCAAACACGUGCCUCCACUGGAGUGUUAUGUAACAACAACAAGCAGCUGAUCAUCACAAACACCACCGUCGCCAUGCAGAUUAUAACCCUGUCGGGGCCCAGAGGGAUGGUCACACAGACUACACUGGAUCAGGGCAGAACAAAACCAGCCAAGAGAAGAAAACUGCUGGGGCCACAUGAGGCUGUAAGAAACCCAAAUGUAUUCAGCUUCAAAGAAAAGUGCCUUUCAAAGCAGGGGCAGGUUUAUGGCCAGGCCCGGCAUCUCCUCGUCAGAGUCAUCAGUCGGAGGGUAGAACCGUUUCGCCUUGGCCAAGAAAUCUUCAGCUAUGUCGAGGUACACGAGGCGAUCCUGCAGAGGUGAAGACAGAGAAAGGAUGAACAGAUAUCGUUCAGGUGGCGGUUCCUUGCUGCUGAAGAUGGAGGUCUCGGUGUGCAACUUGUGUAGCAUGGCGCGUGCUGCCGGGGCAUUACGCAUGCGGUCAGCUGAGGCACCAGCAGAUACUGUCAGCAAUCCAAUGCGGGUCAUAUUCCUGGCCUGAAGCAGGGUGUAAAGCGUCCGGUCAUCAUCUCUUUCUGAGUGGCUGCGGUCUCCGGGUUCACUCCACAGGCUCCCAUUUUCUACAAUCUCGCCAUGGCUCCACACUGAGUCUGAUGUUUGGCUGGAAAAGCUCAGGGAGAUGACAUCCCGACAACUGGUGCUUCUUAUCAGCCUCACAUAGAGGAUAAUACGGGCACUAAACAGGCUUUUGCUCUCAUUGAUAACAUUUACACACCCAUAACCUCAGAAGACAGUCACAGCACAAUCAUGUGAGCAGCUUUGUGUCCUAUCCUAUGAAUUGUGUUUUGCCCCGAGGACAACACAUCUUUUCUACAGCAGUAGGGCUAAUUGUACAUGCUGUAUCUACCACAAUGGUGUGGAUUUAAUUUUUAAUUUGAUUAUAUGCUGUUCCAUAGGAUGUAAAUAAUUUAUAAGCUUUAAAGGGCAGCACGUUUAGAUUGACGUCUUCAUUUUUACAAAAGACAUCCUGAGCUCUGGAAAAGCAUUGUGUGUGUUGGCAUGUGGAGUGGAUUCCUAGCACCCAGCGUGACUUUCUGUUGUUAGGCUAUGGCAUUAAUGCAAAGUAAAGCUGUAAUAAACGAGGCCUCAGUCACAGUGUGUCGUUGUUCAGUGCGUAAACACGAUCAUGAUGCAGUGCAGAAAAAUGUGUGUCGAUAAGACCAAGACCUUCGAAUGUGAAGGGUUUCAAUAUUUGUACUAAAAUUAAUAAGGUUUCUAUAUUUCAAAGACAAAUAAUAUCAAAAUAAAAAUAAAUGCAGA